rnacentral:tRNA from 1 species
UCCCCAGUGGCUCAGUGGUAGAGAAUCCGCCUGCAAUGCAGGAGAUCCGGGUUCGACCCCUGGGUCAGGAA